rnacentral:lncRNA from 1 species
UUGCAGUUUAAAGCUAGCUAGCCCGCUAUAUAUAUAUAUAUAUUUUUUUUAACCCAUCAAAUCUUUUGAAAAAAAAUACAAAGUAACUUUCGAAUUUUGAAAAAAAAAAUGGUUAUUUAAAAGUAGGUAAUCUGUGAAAUUUUAGAUAUUAUAUCGUCCGAGAGACUAAUCGUCGGAGCAAUGUUGUUUUUGAGGUCACAUGGGAUAAUGCAGACAGCAAGAAAGAGACAAUUGUAAGUGGAGAGACACAAAUAAAAUAGGACUAAAGAAUGUUGUCGACUGAUCUAUCUUUAAGACUUGGAAUGGGUUAUCUCAUUCUGCAAAUCCAGUUCCAUCACGUGUGUAUACUAUAAUGUUUUUUGAUAAAGAUGUAUACUAUAAUGUUAUUUCAUUAAUUUUAACUUUGUAGACGAUCACCAAAAUUAAAGCAGUAGACUCUUUAAGAUUACUUUAGAAAAUAAUUAAAUAACUUAUUCAUCAUUGAAGCGAAAAGAAGAUAAG